rnacentral:hammerhead_ribozyme from 1 species
AUCCAGAUGACAAGUACCAAAUAGAAGGAAACGCGCGUCCUGGGU